GACACUUAACCAAAACAGAUCAUGCUAUAAAUACUCUGCAGUUUUACAUAAUGCUAUAUCGUCGAGCCUGUGAAGCUUCAGCUACUCACAUUGAGGGAGAGGUACAGGAACAGGACGACUGACUAUGGCUUUUUGUAGAAACGGCAAUGUUAAAUAGAGGCAAGAGUUGAACUUUUCGUGUGUAAGUUUUAAGUCAGGAAGCAAGGAAGGUUGCGCAAAAAGUCGACGAGUAAAUUGACGAUACACAGUUCCGCGCGCCUAGCCUUGUCGUGUCCGCUGCUGGCAUGGAACGUAAAGCUCGAAUGCCCUUCUUGCGUAAUAUAAAAGUCUGACGGAUUUGACUUCGUUGACCUCCAUUUUCUUUCCAAACCCGAGAGCAUUGAACAAAUCAUCCGGGUUUACGUCCAAAUGUCAACAAAUAUUGCUUCCACUUAACCCAUUCACAGAAAGCGUCGUCCUUUUCUGUGUUUCGGAUCGCUCGGGUUACAAGUAGUUACAGAAUACUUUUCGUAAAUGGCCCGUUACGUUUCUGAAAAGUACCUUUGUUAUGUAAAAGGAUGCUCGGUGUAACUUCAUAUUGUUCAGUGGACUUAUUUGCAAUUACGUCGUGAUCUCCACUGAUCUUGCUCUACACUUUUCCCUUUACGAACAGUAGUAAAUAAGGUUUGAUAGAACAAAAUCAAGAUAAUGCCUACAACGUUUUCUGAAAACCUAUCCAAGCUGUUGUGCAGGACCAGGCGUACGAUACAGGGCUGAGGGAACACUUAUAGGUUUUUAAGGAGGCAAAAUGUGAUUUGUGGACGAAUCUUGUCCCUUUAGGAAAACCGAUAGCGCAACGAAGACAAAUUUCUGCCACUAUAGUGCUACCAAAGAUGGCAGCACGCAGAGUAAAAUACGUUGCAAUAUGUAUGCAGCCUGUAUCCAAUGAGUUAAGUCUUUUUUCUGCUAGACAGGUUUACUUUGAUCGGUAAGUUCCGAUCCGACAACGACGUCCUAAAUAAUGGCCAUCAAUAAAUGCUGUUGUGCUUAA